rnacentral:rRNA from 1 species
UACGUAGGGGGCAAGCGUUGUCCGGAAUCAUUGGGCGUAAAGAGCGUGUAGGCGGUUUAGUAAGUCUGCUGUGAAAGUCCAGGGCUCAACCCUGGGAUGCCGGUGGAUACUGCUGGGCUAGAGUACGGAAGAGGCGAGUGGAAUUCCCGGUGUAGCGGUGAAAUGCGCAGAUAUCGGGAGGAACACCUAUUGCGAAGGCAGCUCGCUGGGACGUUACUGACGCUGAGACGCGAAAGCGUGGGGAGCAAACAGG